GUGGGGAAUAUUGGACAAUGGGCGAAAGCCUGAUCCAGCCAUGCCGCGUGUGUGAAGAAGGUCUUCGGAUUGUAAAGCACUUUAAGUUGGGAGGAAGGGCAGUAAGUUAAUACCUUGCUGUUUUGACGUUACCGACAGAAUAAGCACCGGCUAACUUCGUGCCAGCAGCCGCGGUAAUACGAAGGGUGCAAGCGUUAAUCGGAAUUACUGGGCGUAAAGCGCGCGUAGGUGGUUUUGUAAGUUGGAGGUGAAAUCCCCGGGCUCAACCUGGGAACUGGCUCCAAAACUACUGAGCUAGAGUACGGUAGAGGGUAGUGGAAUUUCCUGUGUAGCGGUGAAAUGCGUAGAUAUAGGAAGGAACACCAGUGGCGAAGGCGACUACCUGGACUGAUACUGACACUGAGGUGCGAAAGCGUGGGGAGCAAACAGGAUUAGAUACCCGUGUAGUCC
rnacentral:rRNA from 1 species